GAGAGCCAGAGAGAGAGAGCCAGAGAGAGAGAGACAGAGAAGAGAGAGCCAGAGACAGAGAUCAUGAAGCGACAGUCUUUCCAGAGGAGGAGUGAAGGAAGAAGAUAACGACCCACAGCAGGAGGAGGAGAUGAUGAACCAGCCUAUAUUAAUACAACAGGCAGACAGCACUAAAACACAGCAGGAGUCCUUUGUGAGUGGAGAUAUCAACAGUGUUGCUCUUGCACAACCGCUGCCUUUUCCACUGGCACCAAGAGACGACAACAGCUACUACUAACUGGGGGAAAAUAAGAGAGUAAGAGUGGAGCGAGAGACAGUGGAAAGCAAACCAAUGACAGCUGGAGAAGCUCACUUCGAGCCUGAUUUGUUUCCUUUGUGAAACCCAGAACAGACCGUACAGAGGACAGCAGUGCAGUUGAUGGGGUUUUGGUCAUCUCUUGGCCUCGAUGCUAAUCGCUACUUGAGGACUUAUCUCUGCUAACCCUAAUCCUGAAAAGACCACUGGGUUGAGGAGGCGAGGACACCACCUCUGUCUCACUGCAGGCUCCAACUCUUCCAGCAACACACACACAGGGAACUCGCUCUCCACACUCACUCAGUGGUCACAUCACACAACCUGCACCCAGAUACUACAGAGUUGCACCCACCCUCAGUGUGAGUGACAUUAUGGAUGCCAGGGAGGAGAUGCUGACCCUGCUACAGAAGCUCUGGACCAAACUGCAGGGUCUCCCCACCGCCAGCUCUCUGGAGAUAGGGGCCUUCGCUGUUCUCAUCCUCUUUAUCGUGGUCUUCCUGCUCCUGCUGCUGAUGACCUGUUUGACGUGCUGCUGCUGUCGCAGGACCAGAACCAAGGGGCCACAUGGUCAGCUGACCUGAGACAACCCCCACUUCCCCCAAUAAUGAGGAGAGACAUUAUAAACAGGCACUCUAUGGCCCUCUAAACCCCAGAAGAAUGAGGACCCAUGCAGACUGGUGUGAACUGAAAACCCUCUGUCACCACUGUAUCACCAGGAGAGACAUUCUGGAAAGGCACUCUAUGGGCCUCUUAACCCCGGAGGAAUGAGGAGGACCCGUGAGAGAUGGACAAGACUAGACUGGGCCUCUAGGACGGCUUCAACUGAUCCACACAACAUAAGGACACAAGGAACACAGGAGCAUGGAAACACACACACAUGCAUCAAGUAACACAAACAACUGGACAUGUAGCUAAAAGAUCACAAUAGAAGCACACGAGAGAGACGGCUUGGGAAGAUGAAUGUCUGUCAGUUCUAGGAUGUAUGGGUGUCAACUCAACUUCUGCCACUGGCUCAGAGAUUAUAAGAAAGAGCCCUUUACAGUUUUCAUCAACAACUCACUCAAAUGGAGACAUCUUGCCAAACCCCUUGUGAGAGUGUUGCCAUAUGUAUUUUAUCUAAAGGACUUCCUUUGCUUUAUUGCUGUGUUCACGUGCUAGACGGAACUAGGAAACUCAGAAAGCCGCACCUGAACAAGCCAUCAUCUCAUUCUCAGGGGAUUCAGAGGACCAUGCCUGCCCUCUGCUGUACAAACAUGGAACGGAGGCAGUGAGGAAGCCUUGUAAUAUGCUUCACAGUUAUACACAACAGAAAAAUAGUAAUGUUGUCAUUUACAUAUAGUUGUUGCAUAGGUUAAAAAGGGUAUCUCUUCCUUCUUAAAAAAGCAUUUUCUUAGCCUGCCUAAAAUAGUGCCAUACGCUUUUGUAUCUCUCUUGCAUGAAAUAAAACAAAAUGCAGAUGAUUGUGGUGUGUUAUAUCAGUGGUUCCCAAACUAUGUGACGCGCCCAGAGGGGUCAGCAGGGGAGACGCAGGGCACCACCCCCCAAAAAGAAUCUAUCCGGUUUUCAACGUACUGUUGAAUGUUUUUAUAAUAGAAUGCACAAGGUGCAAUUUCUAAAUUGUUUUCCUCUUGUCAUGUCA